UACGUAGGGGGCAAGCGUUGUCCGGAUUUAUUGGGCGUAAAGAGCGUGUAGGCGGCCAUGCAGGUCCGUUGUGAAAACUCGAGGCUCAACCUCGAGACGCCGAUGGAAACCGCAUGGCUAGAGUCCGGAAGAGGAGAGUGGAAUUCCUGGUGUAGCGGUGAAAUGCGCAGAUAUCAGGAAGAACACCCGUGGCUAAGGCGGCUCUCUAGUACGGUACUGACGCUGAGACGCGAAAAGCGUGGGGAGCGAACAGG
rnacentral:rRNA from 1 species